UGGGCCUCGUGCUCAUCCUGGCAACAGGAACGACCAUAAAGAAGCCGUCGAGAGAUAUCGGAAGAGUUUUCUUUUCUGUUUUAUAGCCGUACUACCAUGGAAGUCUUUCGCAGAGAGAUAUGGUAGAUGGGCUAGAAGAGCAUGACAUAUACUGUUGUGUCGAUAUUUUCUCCUCGGACCUUGAAAAUUUAUGGUGGGGACACGCAAACUUCUCAACAGGCCGUACCAAUAUCCGCAGCUGGUCUCCAAGGUGAAGAGUCUCUAGUCGAUAGAAUAAUGUAGGUAAGGGAAGUCGGCAAAUUAGAUCCGUAACUUCGGGAUAAGGAUUGGCUCUGAAGAUUGAGAUAGUCGGGCUUGAUUGGGAAACAAUAACAUGGUUUAUGUGCUCGUUCUGGGUAAAUAGAGUUUCUAGCAUUUAUGUUAGUUACUUGUUCCCCGGAUAGUUUAGUUACGUAGCCAAUUGUGGAACUUUCUUGCUAAAAUUUUUAAGAAUACUAUUUGGGUUAAACCAAUUAGUUCUUAUCAAUUAUAACGAUUAUCAAUUAACAAUCAAUUCAGAACUGGCACGGACUUGGGGAAUCCGACUGUCUAAUUAAAACAAAGCAUUGUGAUGGCCCUAGCGGGUGUUGACACAAUGUGAUUUCUGCCCAGUGCUCUGAAUGUCAAAGUGAAGAAAUUUCAAGUAAGCGCGGGUCAACGGCGGGAGUAACUAUGACUCUCUUAAGGUAGCCAAAUGCCUCGUCAUCUAAUUAGUGACGCGCAUGAAUGGAUUAACGAGAUUCCUACUGUCCCCUAUCUACUAUCUAGCGAAACCACAGCCAAGGGAACGGGCUGGGAAUAAUUAGCGGGGAAAGAAGACCCUUUUGAGCUUGACUCUAAUCUGGCAGUGUAAGGAGACAUAAGAGGUGUAGAAUAAGUGGGAGAUAUUAGACCUCGGUUUGGUAUCGUCAAUGAAAUACCACUACUCUUAUUGUUUCCUUACUUACUUGAUUAAAUGGAACGUGUAUCAUUUCCUAGCCAUUAUACGGAUAUAUUUAUUAUAUCUUAUGGUAUUGGGUUUUGAUGCAAGCUUCUUGAUCAAAGUAUCACGAGUUUGUUAUAUAAUCGCAAACAAAUUCUUUAAUAAAACGAUGCAUUUAUGUAUUUUUGAUUUGAAAAUUUGGUAUAACUCCAAUUACUCAGGUAUGAUCCAAUUCAAGGACAUUGCCAGGUAGGGAGUUUGACUGGGGCGGUACAUCUCUCAAAUAAUAACGGAGGUGUCCCAAGGCCAGCUCAGUGCGGACAGAAACCACACAUAGAGCAAAAGGGCAAAUGCUGACUUGAUCUCGGUGUUCAGUACACACAGGGACAGCAAAAGCUCGGCCUAUCGAUCCUUUUGGUUUAAAGAGUUUUUAACAAGAGGUGUCAGAAAAGUUACCAUAGGGAUAACUGGCUUGUGGCGGCCAAGCGUUCAUAGCGACGUCGCUUUUUGAUCCUUCGAUGUCGGCUCUUCCUAUCAUUGUGAAGCAAAAUUCACCAAGCGUUGGAUUGUUCACCCAUGCAAGGGAACGUGAGCUGGGUUUAGACCGUCGUGAGACAGGUUAGUUUUACCCUACUAAAUGACAAAACGUUGUUGCGACAGCAUUCCUGCGUAGUACGAGAGGAACCGCAGGUACGGACCAAUGGCACAAUACUUGUUCGAGCGAACAGUGGUAUGACGCUACGUCCGUUGGGAUUAUGCCUGAACGCCUCUAAGGUUGUAUCCCGUGCUGGACUGCCAUGAUAAAUAAGGGGCAAUUUGCCAUGUAUGGCUUCUUAACCAUUUAAAGUUUAUAAUUUAUUUUAUAAACGACAAUGGAUGUGAUGCCAAUGUAAUUUGUAACAUAGUAAAUUAGGAGGAUCUUCGAUCACCUGAUGCCGCGCUAGUUACAUAUAAAAGCAUUAUUUAAUACAAUGACAAAGCCUAGAAUCAAUUGUAAACGACUUUUGUAACAGGCAAGGUGUUGUAAGUGGUUGAGCAGCUGCCAUACUGCGAUCCACUGAAGCUUAUCCUUUGCUUGAUGAUUCGAUAAAUAAAUGA
rnacentral:rRNA from 1 species